rnacentral:rRNA from 1 species
UACGUAGGGUGCAAGCGUUGUCCGGAAUCAUUGGGCGUAAAGCGCGCGUAGGUGGUCAUGUAAGUCCGCUGUGAAAGUCAAAGGCUCAACCUUUGAAAGCCGGUGGAUACUGCAUGACUAGAGUACGGAAGAGGCGAGCGGAAUUCCUGGUGUAGCGGUAGAAUGCGCAGAUAUCAGGAGGAACACCAAUAGCGAAGGCAGCUCGCUGGGACGUUACUGACACUGAGGCGCGAAAGCGUGGGGAGCGAACAGG